UACAGAGGGUGCAAGCGUUGUUCGGAAUUAUUGGGCGUAAAGCGCGUGUAGGCGGCAGUGCAAGUCGGGUGUGAAAGCCCUCGGCUCAACCGAGGAAGUGCGCUCGAAACUGCAUUGCUUGAGUACCGGAGAGGAUGGCGGAAUUCCCGAAGUAGAGGUGAAAUUCGUAGAUAUCUGGAGGAAUCACCGGUGGCGAAGGCGGCCUUCUGGACAGUGACUGACGCUGAGACGCGAAAGCGUGGGGAGCAAACAGG
rnacentral:rRNA from 1 species